rnacentral:lncRNA from 1 species
AUCUUUCUUUGCUCCUUUUUGGGAGAAUUUUUUUCAUUUUAAAAGAAAUGUUAUAUAUUUUUGCUUAAGCGAAGCUCGACUGGCCAACCAACAAACAACUCUCUCUCUCUCUCUCUCUCUUUCUCUCUCUCUACGACGCAAGCCCGUCGGAAUCGGCGAUUCUUCUUACUCAGUGGCAAUUCUGUUUUUGACCCCCUGAAAACCUAAAGUCCCAAUUAUUUUUUGUCGUAUAUUCGUUAAAUCAAAUUGAAUUAGCCCUGGAUACGCGCAGGGGGAACAAUAAUUGGAUCUGAAUCGCCUUUUUUGGUAAUUGGUUAUGGCGUCGUUGAAGUCGUCACGGUCAAGAGGAGCAUCACACACGGGAGGACCAGUGAAAGGGAAUGCCAAAGACGCAGGCACCAAGUUCGAAGAGAAUCUAAACGUCUUCAAGUCCGAUAAUUUUGAUGCCGAUACAUUUGUACAGUCCAAGUGUCAGUCCCUCAAUGAAAAGGUCCCUAAUUUUUUUCUUAUAAAUUUAAUUAGUGUUUUUUAUUAGUUAAUUUAAUUUUUGAUUAAUUUGUUCAUAAUUCAGUUGAGAAAGUUGGGUUAUUUGUUAGUAUAAAAAUGAGGUAUAGUUUGAAUUAUUAGUUUGGUCUUCCAGGUCCGUAAGUUUACUUGAAAUUGGUUUCUAAGGAGAAAAUAGGAAACCUUGACCCCUUGGCUGCAUCUGUUUUCAGGAGAAAAAAAUAAUAAUAAUAAAUAAUAGUUCUUUACCAAAUGCAGAAAAUUGGAAUGCAUCUAUUUUCAGUUUGCCAAAAUUAUUGUGGUCCUGUUGCUAUUCAAAUAGAAAAUGAAAUUUGAAUGUCUGUUAUCUUGACUGUGCAAAGAACUCCUCAUGUUACAGAAAUUUACAAUUUUUAAUCACCAACUGUUUUUGACGAACUACAUAUAUUUUCGUCACUGCCUACAUGUUAUGUAUAAAUGCCCGCUACAUUCAUUUGUUUUUCUUAAUUAGGCAAUCUAAAAUGUUAGAACUCUAAUAUAAUUUAAUGUUUAAAAGGGUGGGAAAUGAGUGUACUGAAAUAUAAGGGAUGCAAUUACAGACCUAGGUCUAACAAUUUUAUUACUAUUCAGUUUUCAACAAGCAAACUACCUUUGGGCUUUUGGUAAGCAUUGUGUAAAUUGGGUGCAAGGAUGGUGAUUUGGUUGAAGAAAUGUUGAAGCUCAUCGUAACCCUUUUCUAUAAUUGUUCGAUCAAACAUGAUUACAUGAAAUUCUCCCUUUAUGACAUCAGAUAUUAAUACAGGAGAACUAACUAUGUUACAAGUUGAACCAAUGUAUUCUACCCAUGAUUAUGGAUCUAAAUCAAUCUAGAUUUUACCCAUGAUUAUGCAUCUAAAUCGAUUUAGUUGCAAUGUGUGUUUUUGCCCCGUUCAUUAAACAUCUCAAAGCCUAUGCCUUAAGUUUCAUUUGUAAGGUCAUGCCUUGAUUUACUGAGGCAUAUACCUCAAGGCUAAGUCCAAGGUGACUAAGGUAGUUGCCCAUUUGUCUUGCAUGCCUUUUAUGGACAUUCUAUUAUUGGUCUCAUCAUUUUUCGUAUUUCUUUUUUUAAGUCCUACAAUAUUUUAUUAGUUUUUAUCAGUUUUUUUUCCUUUAAUUCCUUUUUUGUAUUUUAUAUAAGUUUGGGCAUCAAUCGGUCACUGGGUAUUUCAAAUCAUCUACACCUAUUACACUUCGGCUAUUUCAUAAAUGAAAUCAUUUGGGUCCACGUAAUGACUACAACCAAAUUCGAAACCCGAACCUUCAAUUCCGAUUCCAGAUCCGUUCUACCCAUGGCCAUUUUUUAAAAACUCACGAGGUGAUAAUACAAAUUAUCUUCUUAAUAUCUAAUAGAAAUAAAAAGCCACCAAAUACAUAUUUCAACAUUUUCUUAAUCAAGUUCGAAUAUGUCACCAAAUAGCAUUCAAUAUCUAAUAUAAUAACAUCAAAUUCUGAUUGUGGCUCUACAUUCGGCGCCUCAAGAAGGUUUGUAGGAGGGGGCAGUUUUUAAAGUAAGAUCAGGAGUGUCUAUGAGAGUGAUAUGAUUCUAUUAUUCAAAUAAAUGAAUAUGAUUGAUUAUGGUACUUAUUACUUGGGCAUUGCUAACUUGCUACUUCAUGUACCUUGCAAAUAUGCUAUUUGUCGGGUAGGGUCAUUGUGUUAGGUUAAAUAAACUGUAAAAAAUAAAAAUAUAUAUAAAAUGACAAAUUUGAUUCCAGAGUCGAGUACCACAGUUUCGGUUCAAGAACAAAGAACUGUUUGGGACUCAAUCGAUUCACGGUUUUCGGUUUCAGAUCCUUUUUUCCUUUGAAUCGAACUGGAACCUUCGAUGUUGGUUAAAAUGCCCACCCUAGGGUGGAGGGGUGUUUUAUAUUAAGGUUUAUGCCUCUACGCUUAGGUAUUGCCUCAAAGAGGUAAUACAGCUUGGUACAAGCUUAAUUAGAUGAUGUUGAUGGUUGUCAACUAGUUAAAGAACAUCCUAAAUAGUUUUGAACGCAAAUAAUGAGGAUAGAGGUCAAAUGAAUUUUUCUCAAUUUGACUGACAAGACAUCUUAUGUAUACUUUAGCUUCCUAUGACAAAACUAAGAAAAUAGAGGUAUAGAACUCUGUUUCUAUCGUCCAUCAUAUUCUUGGAUAACCACAUACUGCAUGUUUAUAUAUAAUUCUGCUUUACUUGUACAGUUAAGUUAUUGGUACAAUUGCUGAAUAUUAUAGAACACGUGUAACCUUGUUAAUCAAACAUUUUAAGUCAUUUUUGUUAGAUUAGGCAUGUAACUAAAUCAGGAGCUGCCAUGUCCAUGGUCAACUACCAAUACCUUAUGGUCGUAUCCAAAUGCCUUGUUAGUACUUCAAUUAUAUUUCAGUUGGUUGUUAACAUGGCAUUGAUGAUUUCACCUAUGGCCGUAUGCCCAUAUCUCUGCAGUACUUUUGAUGGAUAUAAAUCCAUACAUUUUUUGUCACGGUUGACAUUGGACAUUUUUUGUGUCUGUUUCAUCUGAACACUGAUUUUGUAUUACUUUGUGAGGCUGUAUUAAGAUGUUGGCUUUUGAAAUGGGAUCAGCUGCUGAAAUAUUUAUAAUAUCUUAUUUAAAAAUAUUUUAAUGCUAAGUUUGCUCAACAUGACGUUGAAAUUAAUUGAUUGGGUGAAAUUGAUUGAACAAUGAAAAUAUUAUAUCUUAGUUUUGCUGAAAAUAUUGUAAAAUCAUUAUCUUAAAAAUCAUACGCAUCUUGCUUUGACUAGCUUUGCACUCAAACCCCAAGAGACAGAGUGUACUUUGUACAUUUAAUAGUAUUCAGCAAGUAUCAACCCUAAUGAGUAUGCGGAGAUGGGUGAAGAGUGGAGAAAAAGGAUUUAUAAUUUAUUAAUUUCCACAUGACUGAUGCGUAUUUAGAUUGCUACCAUCUGUUUUCUUCUUCUUCCCAGUAUAGAUUCUCUUGUGCUCCACAUUAUUAUAAAUGAUAUUUCUUUCAGUAAUAGCUGUACAAUUACUUUUCGCAGGAAAUAAGACAAUUAUGCUCAUAUCUUAUGGAUUUGAAGAGAUCUUCAGCUGAAGAAAUGCGCAGAAGUGUCUAUGCUAAUUAUACAGCUUUCAUUCGGUGAGUUCUUAGGUACACUUUCCUGCAUCAUACUGACGAAUUCUCUUCUUUCUUUCCUCUUGCUAUCUCUAUUUCUUGUUUGGCUGAAAAUGAUGUUAAAGAGUGAAUAUGUGCAUACCUAGUCUUUGUUUGAGCCCCAUUUUUUCAUCAAAAUAUAUUAUUCAACAGUGAUUUGUCACCAUUUCAACCACACAUUUUUUAAUAAAAUAAUAUUAUACGCAAAUCCAAAACUUUUCCUUAUUUUUUUACUACACAUAACACUAUUUCCAAAUGCAUUUUCCUAGAAAAAUGGGGCUCAAACCUCCUAGAGAAAAUAUUAAAUAACUUCUUUCAGAAUCUCCAAAGAACUCCAAAUUUUGAAGUUUGUAGCAAUAGAAAUUAGUUCACACAGCUCUGUAUUACUGAAGACAAGGUCUGUAGCUACCAUGAUAGCCACCAUUAGGUAAUAUUUACACAUUUGGAGAUGCUUGAAAGCCAUCAAUCACGUUGCCUCACCUUUCCACCAUCUUAGCAUGGUAUCCAAGCAAGCACAUUGCAUUUAGCAUUCGAGAUAUAUUUGAAUUUUGUUUAUACAAUCAGGGGCACCUUUUGCUUGUCAUAUUUUGACAAGAUGUCCAUAAUAUUUUAUGUCUGGUAGAAUUGAAUCCGUAAUCUACAUAUUUAGAUCUUCUGUUCAUUUUUCUUUUUUAAAUGCAACUGGCAGUACGUCUAAAGAGAUAUCAGAUUUAGAGGGUGAGCUUUUAUCGAUGAGAAACCUGCUAUCCACUCAGGCGACCUUGGUCCAUAAUUUAGCUGAGGGAGUUCAUAUUGAUUCUCUGUCUGAUACUGAUCCUGAAGGUUCUGCUGCAAAUAAAGUAUCCAAUGAUGAAGUUGGAGAACCUUCAGAUGUGGAGAAAUGGUCUAGAGAGUUCCCUGAUUUCCUUGAUGUUCUGUUGGCUGAAAGGAGAGUUGAUGAAGCUUUGGCCUGCCUUGAUGAAGGUGAAAACAUAGUGUCUGAAGCAAAGGAAAAGAAAAUUUUGACUUCUGGCAUGCUCCUCUCUCUGCAGUCUGCUAUAAUUGAACGCAGGCAAAAGUUAGCAGAUCAGCUGGCUGAAGCUGCUUGCCAACCUUCUACACGUGGUGCUGAGCUGCGUGCAGCAAUUUUAGCUCUCAAAAAACUUGGAGAUGGUCCUCGUGCUCAUACUUUACUCCUCAAUGCGCACUAUCAGAGAUACCAGUACAACAUGCAAAGCCUUCGUCCAUCAAGUACCUCAUAUGGAGGAGCAUAUACAGCAGCCCUGUCACAGCUAGUAUUCUCUGCCAUUGCUCAAGCAGUCAGUGAUUCCAUGGUUAUUUUUGGUAAGGAGACAGCUUAUACAUCUGAGAUAGUGAUGUGGGCUACAAAGCAAACUGAGGCCUUUGCACAUCUUGUCAAACGACAUGCAUUAGCUUCAUCUGCUGCUGCUGGGGGUUUAAGAUCUGCUGCAGAAUGUGUUCAAAUAGCUUUAGGACACUGUUCACUGUUGGAAGCUCGUGGGCUUGCCCUUUGUCCUGUGCUUGUGAAGCUCUUUAGACCUAGUGUUGAGCAAGCGCUGGAUGCCAAUUUGAAGCGAAUAGAAGAAAGCACAGCUGCUUUAGCUGCUGCUGAUGAUUGGGAGCUCACAUAUCCUCCAACCGCUUCACGCCAAUCCGGCAGGACUCCUGCAGCUUUGGGUGGUACGAUGUCACAUCAGCACAAGCUUUCCAGUAGUGCUCAUCGUUUCAAUGCAAUGGUCCAGGUAAAACAAUUUUUGUCUCAAUUGCUGCCCUGAUAACAUAGAAAAUAACUUUCCCAUUUCUCACUUUAAGCAUGCCAACGUACAAAAUACAAAUUCAAUUCCUUAUCAUUCUUCAUUGACGAUUAACUUCCUAGGUUUCUUGGCAGAGUUGGCAAAUAGUGUAUUUUGUAUGUCAUCUGUUAUUUCUCUAAGGCUUCCAAUUUUGAUAUGAAGCUUUCUUCUUGUGAUUUAGUGUUUUAAUGUAACAAUCAUAAGCCUGUGUAACUAUAUAUUUAAGCUAGAAAUCUUGGCCAGGUAUUUGUUAUCCUUUCCAAGUAGUAUAUGUGUACGUCCAUAAUGACGUGGCCACAUUCAGUUUUGUUAGGCAUGAGAAUCCAACUGUUGACUUCCUCGGGUAAAUGUAAUAUACACCUUGAAGCCCCCAUGGCGCAGUGGUAAAGCAGGAGGGUUCCAUAUGGAACAUCGAAGGUUCAAAUCCCUGCAACAGCUAGAAGGCAACAUUUAUGUUAGAAGGCAGUUGUCCUGUGGAGGCAAAGUUAAGGUGCGCUUUGUCGCCCCUCAAGGGGUCCUGUCCGCACGUCGUAAAAGGAGGUCUGUAGGGAGGAGAACUGCAUCUCGAAUAUCUGGUCCAAAUGUGUAUAAGCUGUGACUGCAUCCGGAUUUACCUGGGUGGAGAACCAGGGGGAAGACCGUCACUCUUCAAGAUUAGUCAGACGAAAUUUGGACACAUAAGUUAUCAAAAAAUAAUAAUAAUACACCAUGAAGACAUGCAUAGUCAUUUACAGAAUUCUCUAGACAUAGUAAUUAUUUUAUUUCUGGACAAAUUUUUGGCAGCAUGUUGAAUAAGCUGGAAAUUUACGUUGUAGUAUGACUUCACUUCAGUAUAACCCUGAAAUUAUUAGCCUAAUGAUUAGUAUAGGCAAUUUGGCUAAGCAUCUGAUUUCACUAUGGUUGGUUGUAAAUUGUGCACAAGUAUUGUUUAUUGGACAGGAUUUGAGUUCUGUCACAUCGUCUACCCUUUCUGGUUUUAAAACUGUCCUUUUGGAAUUGCAUGUUUAAGAUUGGGUAAAAUUCUUAAUGCUAAUUGAGAAGUAACUAGGCAUGUUAUUUCUCAAUAAUUUGAUUUAUGUGAAGUUUCUUCUGUUCUAUCGUUGCUUUUAUUCUUUUACUGAUGGUUUUUAACUUCAAGUUGAAGCAGCUGCUUUUUUUAACUGCCUUUGCAGGACUUUUUUGAAGAUGUGGGACCCCUGUUAAGUAUGCAGUUGGGAAGUAAAACAUUGGAUGGUCUGUUCCAGGUGUUCAACUCAUAUGUGAAUAUGCUCAUAAGAGCAUUGCCUGGCUCCAUUGAAGAUGAAGCCAACCUCCAAGGUUCAGGAAAUAAAAUUGUUCGAAUGGCUGAAACUGAAGCCCAGCAAAUUGCGUUGCUUGCAAAUGCAUCCUUACUAGCUGAUGAGCUAUUGCCACGUGCAGCCAUUAAGCUCUCCCCAUUAAAUCAACCCACUUACAAGGAUGAUUCUCGUAGAGGACUUACUGAGCGGCAAAAUCGUAAUCCUGAGCUAAGAGAAUGGAAGAAGCGUCUUGUCAACUCUCUUGAUAGAUUAAAAGAUAGUUUUUGUCAACAACAUGCUCUAGAUCUUAUUUUUACUGAAGAAGGUGAUAGCUAUCUUAAUGCAGACAUUUACAUAAACAUGGAUGGGAAUGAGGAUGAGAUAGAGUGGUUCCCUUCUCCAAUAUUCCAGGUAUUUUUUCUAUUUUUUAAGUAAAUUUGUUGGCUGCAUUUUAUAAAUCUUAUGUUAUAAUUAUCUUAUCUUUUGUUGUCAAUAUUACGGCAAUGUGGAUCUUCUAGUUUAGCUUUCCUAUUUAUUAUUUUUGAUUUUAUCUUGUAUCAUGUAGUUUGUACUAAUUUAUCCUUGUAGAAGGGAACAUUUGUGUCCAUCAUUAGUAUCUUGGACCUUCACGGGGUUAAACUGCUUAAGAUCUGGCCCCUACAUAGUACCGUCUUUGUCUCAAUAUCAUGGCUUGUACUUAUUCAUCCUAUUGCUUAUAAAAGAUGUCACGUCAUUCUUUUGUUGAAGUCUCUGGGCUUUCAGGGUUAAACAGCUUAAGAACUGCGCAUCAACAUUGCAGUGUUCCAUAUACUAUCUGUCUAUGGUAUUUUGAGUCAACUUACAAUUCAGCGCAUGUUUGGGAAUUGUUGAUGAACAGUUUAAAUUAUAAACGGAUAUAAAUGAGUAGUGGGCAUAUGGGUGGAUCCUACGAAAUUUCUGGAUUAAAGGUGGUUUGACGAAAAGUGUUUAUAUUUAUAAACAGUUCCAAAACAAGCUUUUAAUUGCUAGACUUCUUGUUUUCUUUCCUGUGCUGAGAUGUGUUCAUAACUGCAAUACAACCUGUAAUGUUUACGGUAUGGAUUGUACAUGUAACAAUUUUCUAUUUUGUCUACUGUCCAGGAACUUUACGCAAAGCUGAACAGGAUGGCUGCAAUGGCAGCAGAAAUGUUUGUAGGCCGGGAAAGAUUUGCAAUGUUGCUAUUGAUGAGGCUAACAGAGACGGUUAUCUUAUGGCUUUCAGAAGACCAGACAUUUUGGGAUGAUAUUGAGGAAGGACCAAGGCCUUUAGGUCCACUCGGUCUUCAACAGGUUUAUAAAUUGAUAGGUUUAUAAAUUGAUAUUUAUUGGGGAACUCUGCCCUCUAAUUGCCAUCCUAUUAUAACCAUCUUUUCUUUACAUGUAUUGGCUGCAGUUCUACUUGGAUAUGAAAUUUGUGAUAUGCUUUGCUUUACAAGGACGCUACUUGUCUAGAAAUUUGCGUCGGGUCGUGAAUGAUAUCAUAGCCAAAGCAUUGGCUGCAUUUUCUGCAACAGGCAUGGAUCCGUACAGGUACUGCGUAUACUGUAACCUUGGUAUGAUUGUUGUGCAUUUUCUUUCAAAUGAUUCUCUUAGAAGGUUACGGGAAGUUGUGUAGUUUUUUUUUGGAACCCGGAUGGAGAGAAAAUCCUAUAUGAGAUAUCUUGAUAAAGGGAAAAGAGAAGUCCUUUUAAGUGUAGAAAGACAAAAACCAAGGAUAUGAAAUUUCACAGUAAUCCCAAGUUAGAGAAAUUAUUUAAUUAAAGGAAUAGCCAAGAAAAUGAUAAUUGGAGUUGCUGCCAACUACAUUUGCAUAGAAAAACGAAAUCUUCAAAUUUGUUUUAACCAGUGUUGUUGGUGGCAGUGUACUUCGGGAAGAUGAGUGGUUUACUGAAAUUUGUCAAGAUGCAAUGGAAAAACUGAGUGGAAAACCCAAAGUUGCUAAUGGGGAUCGGGACCUGAGCAGCCCGACCGCUUCUGUUUCAGCUCAGUCGAUUUCAUCCGUAAGGUCUCAAGGGAGUUCCUGAUGCUUGACCAUUACAAAUUUGUAAAGCAGACAGAUUUUCAUGGAUUAGGCAACAAUGGUAAAUUCGCUUCUGUUAUUUUUUCUCCUUUUCCUUUUAUAAAGUAUAGUGGUUGGAACUACUACCACUUUGUAGUUUUGCUAUAGUGGUUGGUUGGAAAUUCUUUAACUGGUUAAGGAGCAUUUGAGUUUGUAUAUGUUGAUGAAAUUAUCUCAGGAUUUGCUGUAUUCUUUUGAUUGAUUUGUACUAGGAGGCGGCCUUUAGAAAUUAGGUCCCAUGGAGUGAAAUUGCCUUCCGAUUCGAUAAGUUGUUACUUAUAUAUAAUAUAUUAAAUAUCAUAUCAAGUAAAAAUCA